ACUUUAUCACAUCUUUGAAUCUUAACUCUAUCUGCUUGUUUGAGUUGCAAACGGUGGAGCUGAAGAUGGAGGCUUUGGAGAAACAGGCAAAGCAUGCCCAGCUGCGAGAGCGGAAAGCGGCGCUGGAAACAUCCCGGGCGGACGCUCACUCGUCCCAGAUAUGGCUGAAUCACAGCUGCUAAAGAACAUAGGGGAUGUGAUAGCAGGAGUGCUUCUGGACCUUCCUGAUCAACUUUUUGAGUCCGUUGAAGAUACUUUAAAAACACUUGGUGCGGCAAGCACAGAUGAUUUAAAGAACAUCACAGAAAACGAUUUGCUGCCAGUGUUAAAGCCCAUACAAGCACAAAGACUGGCUGCUGCCUGGACCCAAAAUAGUUCCUCCUGCUUCAUUGCUGAGACAUUCAUGUUGAGCAUCGACAAGAAGAUUGUCAACGACCACAUCACAACCUUCACCUCCGCCAUCUGCCUGUUGUUUGGCAGUUAUUACUGCUUUAACAUACACUACCCAGUGGAACUACGAUCAACACUAGAGUUU